AGCGAACGCUGGCGGCAGGCUUAACACAUGCAAGUCGAGCGGCCGUAGCAAUACGGCAGCGGCAGACGGGAGAGUAACACGUGGGAACGUACCCUUCAGUACGGAACAACCAAGGGAAACUUUGGCUAAUACCGUAUACGUCCGUAAGGAGAAAGAUUUAUCGCUGAAGGAUCGGCCCGCGUCUGAUUAGCUAGUUGGUGAGGUAACGGCUCACCAAGGCGACGAUCAGUAGCUGGUCUGAGAGGAUGAUCAGCCUCACUGGGACUGAGACACGGCCCAGACUCCUACGGGAGGCAGCAGUGGGGAAUAUUGGACAAUGGGCGCAAGCCUGAUCCAGCCAUGCCGCGUGGAUGAUGAAGGCCCUAGGGUUGUAAAGUCCUUUUAACGGGGAAGAUAAUGACGGUACCCGUAGAAUAAGCCCCGGCUAACUUCGUGCCAGCCGCCGCGGUAACAC
rnacentral:rRNA from 1 species